rnacentral:rRNA from 1 species
CCUACGGGUGGCAGCAGUGAGGAAUAUUGGUCAAUGGACGAGAGUCUGAACCAGCCAAGUAGCGUGAAGGAUGACUGCCCUAUGGGUUGUAAACUUCUUUUAUAUGGGGAUAAAACGUUCCACGUGUGGGUUUUUGUAGGUACCAUCUGAAUAAGGAUCGGCUAAUUCCGUGCCAGCAGCCGCGGUAAUACGGAGGGUCCGAGCGUUAUCCGGAUUUAUUGGGUUUAAAGGGAGCGUAGGUGGAUUGUUAAGUAAGUUGUGAAAGGUUGCGGCUCAACCGUAGAAUUGCAGUUGAAACUGGCAGUCUUGAGUACAGUAGAGGUGGGCGGAAUUCGUGGUGUAGCGGUGAAAUGCUUAGAUAUCACGAAGAACUCCGAUUGCGAAGGCAGCUCACUGGACUGCAACUGACGCUGAGGCUCGAAAGUGUGGGUAUCAAACAGGAUUAGAUACCCGAGUAGUC